GACGAACGCUGGCGGCGUGCCUAACACAUGCAAGUCGAACGGAGUUAAACGCUGAAAUUGAGAUUAGCUUGCUAAAGGAUUUUUCUUGUUUAACUUAGUGGCGGACGGGUGAGUAACGCGUGAGCAACCUGCCCUACAGAGGGGGACAACAGUUGGAAACGACUGCUAAUACCGCAUAAUGUGGAGAGAGGACAUCCUCUUUUCACCAAAGGAGCAAUCCGCUGUAAGAUGGGCUCGCGUCCGAUUAGCCAGUUGGCGGGGUAACGGCCCACCAAAGCGACGAUCGGUAGCCGGACUGAGAGGUUGAACGGCCACAUUGGGACUGAGACACGGGCCCAGACUCCUACGGGAGUCAGCAGUGGGGGAUAUUGCACAAUGGGAGGAAACUCUGAUGCAGCAACGCCGCGUGAGGGAAG
rnacentral:rRNA from 1 species